rnacentral:sRNA from 1 species
UAGCUGACUGCCGCGGGUGGUGCAGUAUUCUAGUCAGGCUUUGCCACUCUGAAGACGGGCCUAAAAAUCCGUCGAGGGCAUAUCGAUGAAGUUCCUGGUGAUGGCUUUCGACGCCCAGUCGGGGGUCGUUGCUGGGAGUUAAGGGGAUGGGGCGAUCUACAAAGGCAUGUAGGUGUUGACCCUAUCCCCGCGGAGGCCCAAGUGCGUGGUUUUCCCCAAAAGGAAAGCUACGGCUUGGGUUUAAACCUGCAUUCGGUGCGAUGAGCGCUGGGUGCAGAGUAGCCUGCCUUGAGUGGCGGUGGUGGAGACGCUAAAAACGCAGCUUAAUGUAGGGGCCCUAUCAUUAAGUUGCGUUGUUGAAACCAUCGCUGCAAAAGAGGCUAGGGGUGGAGAAAGCCUGUCGAAGAAAAUUCCUAGACUGUUUACCGUAAGGUAAGGUCAGCUGGGGAUUAAAGUGUGUGCUAAGUGGUAAUCCAGUCCUGCAGUCUGCGAAGCUGCAGAUCGGCCCUUAAAGGGAAACCGCUGGUUCGGCGACGGCCAGUGGGCCGAUGGGAAAUCCUACUGGACCUAAGCCGCAAAGUUUACCCAGCUGGCUACCACUCGCGGGUCGGUUUAU